rnacentral:lncRNA from 1 species
GUUAAGAAGCGCGGUUUGGCGGGUCAUGUUUAGGAGGACGCAUGAAUCGACCUUCACUUUCCAACCUUGUUGGGGAGUUGCAGCGAUGAGACAAGAUUGAAACUGGUGAGAAAAAGCAGUGGUGUCCCCUUCUUCCCCCAGUCCAGCUGUGUGUCAGCCCUCGGAGGUUCUAGAGAUGACAGAGAGGGGAACCUUAAACUACAGCUGAUGGUGAUUGAUAUGUUGUGUCAGAUACUGCAGACUGAGUCUAUAUGGGAUGUCCAGCAAUGGAUUCUGACAGCUGGUCAAAGAGAAAAGGACCAGGUUCUAAGUCUGCUGUGUUCCGCCCUGGCCAAGGACCCUGUCUCAGCCUAUGAGGCUCCAGGAAGAGAGCAGCUGACAGUGAAGGAGGUUCAAAACUUCCCUCCUGCCUCCAGAAUGGCUUUGAUCAGUGAGAAGGAUACCACCAGAAAUCAUUCCCUAGAAAUGAUGUCAAACUGUGACUCAGGUAAACUGGAGGAUGCAGACACAGAGAGGGCAGAGUCCAAGACCCCCAGGGAGAAUCACAGCGCCAGACCCCUGAGUACCCAGAGGACCCUGGGUAGCCCCCCCGUGUGUCACCUCAACCAGAAGGUGGUCCUACGGUGCACCAAGUGGGCCCUGAUGCCUCACACACAACCUGAAGUGUUCCAGGCUGAAUGGCCCAACUAUACCCAGCAGGCACCUGGCUGACUCGUGACUUAAAACACAACUCUGGCAAUACACCUGGGGCUGGUUCAGGAAGUUGCAACGUCACUGAACGUUCAGAUAGAAAUGUAUGAUGUAGAAUAGAUACCAUUGUCUGUCAUGUUGAAUAGAAUAACCUAUUCAACAUGACAGACAAUGGUAUCUAUUCUACAUCAUACAUUUCUAUCUGAACGUUCAGUGACGUUGCAACUUCCUGAACCAGCCCCAGGUGUAUUGCCAGAGUUUGUUACUGUUAAUAUGGUAUCAGCUCUAGUGAUUUUAUUUCUAUCUGCAACACUCUGAAUGUUGUGCCCUCAUGAAUGAACCCCUCCUGUGCAUCUCAAUACAUGUCUUACUCAGCAAUUUGUAGUCAUUCUGGUAGUCAUUUUGUUCUGAUUUGGUUUGAAUUAGAUUUUGAAUGAGUGUUUGAUUGAGUUGGAAGGGGAGUUCAAAUGGGACUU